rnacentral:rRNA from 1 species
UACGGAGGAUGCGAGCGUUAUCCGGAUUUAUUGGGUUUAAAGGGUGCGUAGGCGGGCUUUUAAGUCAGCGGUAAAAAUUCGGGGCUCAACCCCGUCCGGCCGUUGAAACUGGGGGCCUUGAGUGGGCGAGAAGAAGGCGGAAUGCGUGGUGUAGCGGUGAAAUGCAUAGAUAUCACGCAGAACCCCGAUUGCGAAGGCAGCCUUCCGGCGCCCUACUGACGCUGAGGCACGAAAGUGCAGGGAUCGAACAGG